rnacentral:rRNA from 1 species
GAUGAACGCUGGCGGCGUGCUUAACACAUGCAAGUCGAACGGGAAACCUUUUAUUGAAGCUUCGGCAGGUUUAGCUGGUUUCUAGUGGCGGACGGGUGAGUAACGCGUGGGUAACCUGCCCUAUACAGGGGGAUAACAACCAGAAAUGGUUGCUAAUACCGCAUAAGCGCACAGUGCCGCAUGGUCCGGUUUGAAAAACUCCGGUGGUAUAGGAUGGACCCGCGUUGGAUUAUCCAGUUGGCAGGGUAACGGCCUACCAAAGCGACGAUCCAUAGCCGGCCUGAGAGGGUGAACGGCCACAUUGGGACUGAGACACGGCCGAGACUCCUACGGGAGGCAGGAGUGGGGAAUAUUGCACCAUGGGGGGAACCCUGAUGCAGCGACGCCGCGUGAAGGAAGAAGUAUCUCGGGAUGUAAACUUCUAUCAGCAGGGAAGAUAGUGACGGUACCUGACUAAGAAGCCCCGGCUAACUACGUG